GAAAUGCCCUCCAAAAGGCAGACUACAAUGGGCACCACUGCCUUUUACGGCGUCGAAUUGGUGCUACCAAUUCAAAUGGAGCGGAAAACACAACCAAAAAUUGUAGGUUUCUUCACUCUUCUGCAUCGCCUCGUCCCCCCCAAACCCCACCACCAGCAACUCCUCCACCGCCAGAUCCCCAGCUAUCCUCUAAACACAGAGGCAGUGGGUGGAACCCGGAGUGAGCUAGAGACCCCAAGUAUGCAGGGUGUAUUUAUCAUACCAAACACUAAAUGUUUUGCAGACUAUGUAGAAUGCACCGUCAAAGGGCAUCACAUGGUCCCUCUCAAAGGCCGUUCAUAGAGGUCCCCUGCAUUAACUACAGACGUGAUGCCUUGGACUCGCACUUGAGCUCAGCGAUUCACGUUUCGUGUGUGGGCAUUGCAGCCCAAUCAAGCCGAAAUCUGCCCAUCAAUGAGGCAUUUCAGCUUAUUUUGAAUUUGGAGCAUGAGGCCAUAAUUGGAGGCUUUAAAUGUCUAUACUGGCUGGUAAAGCACGAGAUUGCACACCAUACCAAUUACCCAACAUUGUUGGAUCUGGCAGACCUCCGAGGCUGCGAAUAUUUUUCCAAACUGAAGAUUGAUCAGAGGACCAACUACAAGUCCCACAGGAUUGUGGACGAAAUGCUCCAAAUCAUUGAUGAAGUGGUGGAGGAGCCCAUUUUAGAGGCCAUCAAGUCAUCAAAGGCUAUUGGCCUUGAAAUUUUAAAGUCCACAGAUAUCUCUGUAACGCAACAGUUAGAUACCCAUGUUAGGUACACAGACAAGGAAGGAGAGAUGUUCGGUCAAUUCUUGGACCUUGUAACCAUUCCAUAUGGCACAGCUACAACUAUAACUAAAGCUGUGAAGGAGGUCAUGACACAGAAAAAGAUUCCCCAGGACCGCAUCUUUGGCCUUGGAAAUUGCUGACUGACUAGUUAGUGUCAGUGCACUGUGCUGCUCAUCGCCUGGCACUAGCAUGUAAAGAUGCAGCAGAUGGAGUGCCAUAUAUGAAAAUCUUCAGAAAGCACCUACAAGACCUGCACCUUUAUUUUAGGAAUAGUGCAAACCCCACCAGCGCUCUACAAGCAGCUGCUACUGUGCUUGGAGUAGCAGACCUGAAAGUCACACCCCCACCGCAGGAGGUUAAAGACACUAGGAAGCUGUCACAAGAGAAGGCCAUUUCAAAUCUCCAGAGAAAUCUACCUGCAGUACUUACUACACAAGCUGAGGAGGCAGACUUAAAGAAGGAUCCUGUGGCAUGGGGGUUGUACACCUACUGUGCAACUUACAGAUUUGUUGCAGACAUCCAGCUUUCAAAGUUGUUCCAGAAAGAAAACAUCAAUUGCAAGACAAUCAAGAACCAUGUUCCUGUUACCAUUGAGACAUUGAGGAACAUUAAGCAGCAGGUGAACGGCAACCUGAGGGCUCCUUUUUAGCUCAGGUUGAAGAGAAGGUGACCAGUCUGAACAUCGAUGCAGAAGAGGAGAGGACAAGACGUGGGACAGCUCAUUCCAUCACCACCUUAUGGGAACGUUUUCAGACACAAUUAAGCAAGCUCAAGAAUGAAUAAACAAUAAUAACCCGCCUGAAAUAUGAGCCUACAUUUGAAUUUUCUCUCACAUGUAAUGUGAAUAGGUCAUAGACCCCUACAUUGAUGGACUCAUUCAGCACCUGGAGCUGAGGUUCCAGCAGCUUGGAAUUCUUGGUGCUUUUAGUUCACUGGGACCACAAGGACCACAAGCUGAUGAGAGUCAGACUGUCUCUGACCUAAAACUACUGGCCAAGCAGUUCCCUCCCAUCAGUGAGAAGGCACUUCUCCAAGAGUGGCAGAGCUACAGAGUCGUAAUAACAACCGGAAUACUGAAAGACAAGUCCCAGCUGGAGGUGAUGACAUUCUUAGUAUCUCAGAUGACGGGGAGAAGACGCUGCCGAAGGUGAGCCACGUAAAUAAUACCGCCCACUAAACGGGGCAUCCUGAAGCGACUUUCAGAAAGCGACUUGAAAAUGGUUUGUAAAACAUAAUCUAUGCAACAUUUUGGCCAAGGAACCACCAUUAUAUAUUUUGUAGACCACAAGGAAAUGUUUUAAAUUAAAAAAAAAAAUCUAAAUAUGACCCCUUUAAUGCGCCUUAUAAUCCGGUGCGCCUUUUGUAUGAAAAAAGACCUGAAUAGACCAGCUCGUCGGCAGUGCGCCUUAUAAUCCGGAAAAUUCAGUAGAGUCUACAGAAGUUAUAGGCGGUGUCAGUAAUACAAGUAAAUAAAA